UGGGGAAUUUUUGGACAAUGGGCGAAAGCCUGAUCCAGCAAUGCCGCGUGUGUGAAGAAGGCCUUCGGGUUGUAAAGCACUUUUGUCCGGAAAGAAAUCCUUGGCUCUAAUACAGUCGGGGGAUGACGGUACCGGAAGAAUAAGCACCGGCUAACUACGUGCCAGCAGCCGCGGUAAUACGUAGGGUGCAAGCGUUAAUCGGAAUUACUGGGCGUAAAGCGUGCGCAGGCGGUUUGCUAAGACCGAUGUGAAAUCCCCGGGCUCAACCUGGGAACUGCAUUGGUGACUGGCAGGCUAGAGUAUGGCAGAGGGGGGUAGAAUUCCACGUGUAGCAGUGAAAUGCGUAGAGAUGUGGAGGAAUACCGAUGGCGAAGGCAGCCCCCCUGGGCCAAAUACUGACGCUCAUGCACGAAAAGCGUGGGGAGCAAACAGGAUUAGAUACCCCUGGUAGUCCACGCCCUAAAACGAUGUCAACUAGUUGUUGGGGAUUCAUUUUCCUUAGUAACGUAGCUAACGCGUGAAGUUGACCGCCUGGGGAGUACGGUCGCAAGAUUAAAACUUAAAUGAAUUGACGGGGU
rnacentral:rRNA from 1 species